UCUCUGCAAUCCAUUCUUUAUUAUUAUUCUUUUCAUUAUCAGUUGCAUUUGAACUAAAGACUGCACAAAGGUGUCCACGGGCAGAACAGUUCUUCAUCGAUGGUCUUCCCAAUGACCAUACUGUUUGCAGGUUGUACACUUUCUGUCCUAUUCUCUUUCUCCAAUUUUCAUAUCUAUCCUUUUCUCUCCAAAGACAAACCUACCACCAAGAACAAUUGUCUUUUCACUAUCUCUUCCUUUUACUUUCUUCAUAUCUAGCUUUUUUCUGGUUUUGUAGAUCUUAAUGGCUAGACCCUUUGAACUAAAGACCCUUUGUUUUCUCUCUCCCAAAGCUUCUCAUGAUGCUUCUUCUUACUUUUUUCCUUCUUCCUCUUUUACUUUGUAUUUUGUUCAGCUUCUUUCUUCUUCCUCUUCACUUUUUUUCUCUUUCUGCUUUUGGGCAAGUGAUGUAGAUCUCAAAGCAAAGAAUCAUCAUAUGACAUAAAUCUAUAAUCCUGUUUACAAAAUGUUGUUUCGAUUUCAAGCAAAAAUUAUGGCGAUUUGCUUUUGGGCUGUCGAUUCGAUUUCAAGCGAAGAAGAUGGAGAUCUGUUUGUGGGUUAUGGUUUAGUUUCAAGCGAAGAUUUGAUGGCGAUGGAUCUGACUUUUUGGCGAUUUCACGGUGGUGUGCGAUUUGGCUGGUAUAUCUGUUUGUAAUGAUGGUGAUGUAAAAAUAGUUGGGAAUAAUUUUAAUGAGAUUGUCUUGGAUGAAUCAAAAGAUGUUCUCCUUGAGGUUCAUUUGUGAAGAAACUAAGUGGUACGGGAAAGACGAUUCUGAUUUGCACCAGCCUGAAUCUCAAUAAUUUUGGAGUCGGGUUGUGUUGAAUGGGUAGUUGAAUUUGAGCCUUCAGUAUUCGUAGAUUGUGAGCAGUGUGGGAUAUAAUAAGAUUUGCAGUUCUGCAUUGUACCUUUAUUUAGUUCUCUGUAGAUAUGUUUUGGUUGUUGUCUGAUGUAGAAAACAGGCUGAGGCGGCAUUAUAUGAAGCUGGGUCUGAUGUUGUCUUUUGGUUGUUGAUUUCUAAUUUUUGGUUCCGUCGAUAUCUGUAUUGAACAGCUCUUUAUAGCUUGAAGAUCACAAACGGCUAUUGCUCCACUCAAGCGAAUGAAAAUUUUGCUACAGGUUAGUUUGUUUGUGAAUGAAUCUCUAAACCACCAGAAGCCCAAAUAUGUUCCUGCAUCAAAUAAUAUGCAAUGAUAAGGCAUACUACCACCCUAACUGCCUUGCUUUUAAAGGUGUUUGCAAGUAGAUCAGGAGCAACAACAUUAAGAAGAAUGAAAGCAGCAGGCAGUUCUAGCCAAUCUGCGAUAUUAGAAAUUAUUCCGGGGAAAGUGUUUUGUGGUUUUCUUUCUUUUCUCAUUAUUUCAUCAGUGGUAGUUAUGUUGUGGGAUGCAUAAUUGGAGGAUGACUUAUAUUUGGAUCCGGUAAUUGGUAGUGGAGUGUUGUAUCUGUUUUUCGGCGUAGUUGCGAAUUGGAUUUGAAGUCUGUUUUUUGUUUUGUUUCAGUAUGUGUGUUAACAGGUUGGUAUGAUCUUUGUUUUUGUUUUGUUUUGUUUUAUAUUGGUUUGACCACUCUCUGCAUGAUGCAUGAGAUAAAUGCAGUAGAUGGGUGGCUCAUUUCAAGUGAAAAAUUGGCAAAUGAGGAUAAAUUGGCUAACAGCAAACAAGUUCUUCAUAUCUCUCCUCUAAUUGAUAAAUAAAUUAGUUUCAAAUUUAACAUUUGAACAGGAAUUUAAAUUUGUUUCAUUGUUCCAGAUUAGUGUCAAAUGAGGAUAUAUCACAGCGUUAUGAGUUAUGAGUUGCAGCUUCCACUGAUAAUUUAUUUGUGUGCAUUAUUGUGUUUUAAGACACAGCUUAGUCUUACGAUUAUUAGUGUU